CAAUAGCGUAUAUUUAAGUUGCUGCAGUUAAAAAGCUCGUAGUUGGAUUUCGGGUGGGAAUGGCAGGUCCGCCGUUUCGGUGUGCACUUGCUACGCUCACCUUGCUGCCGGGGACGUGCUCUUGAGUUCACGCUCGGGACACGGAGUCGGCGAGGUUACUUUGAGUAAAUUAGAGUGUUCAAAGCAGGCCUACGCUCUGAAUACAUUAGCAUGGAAUAACACGAUAGGACUCUGGCCUAUCUUGUUGGUCUGUAGGACCGGAGUAAUGAUUAAGAGGGACAGUCGGGGGCAUUCGUAUUUCAUUGUCAGAGGUGAAAUUCUUGGAUUUAUGAAAGACGAACUACUGCGAAAGCAUUUGCCAAGGAUGUUUUCAUUAA
rnacentral:rRNA from 1 species